GAUGAACGCUAGCGACAGGCCUAACACAUGCAAGUCGAGGGGCAGCACAUGAGUAGCAAUACGAUGGUGGCGACCGGCGCGACGGGUGAGUAACACGUAUGCAACCUGCCUGUAAGCGGGGGAUAACCCGGAGAAAUUCGGACUAAUACCGCAUAAUACUGUGAAUUUGCAUGAAUUUACAGUUAAAUAUUUAUAGCUUACAGAUGGGCAUGCGUAUGAUUAGAUAGUUGGUAGGGUAACGGCCUACCAAGUCAACGAUCAUUAGGGGUUCUGAGAGGAAGGUCCCCCACACUGGUACUGAGACACGGACCAGACUCCUACGGGAGGCAGCAGUGAGGAAUAUUGGUCAAUGGGCGAGAGCCUGAACCAGCCAAGUCGCGUGAAGGAAGACGGUUCUAUGAAUUGUAAACUUCUUUUGUAGAGGAAUAAAGUGGGUUACGUGUAGCCUUUUGUAUGUACUUUACGAAUAAGGAUCGGCUAACUCCGUG
rnacentral:rRNA from 1 species